rnacentral:rRNA from 1 species
AAGCAGUGAUGUGAAGCAAAUCGCACCAAAGCCGGUCCCAGUUCGGAUAAGAGGCUGAAACUCGCCUCUUUGAAGUCGGAAUCGCUAGUAAUCGCAGAUCAGCAUGUUGCGGUGAAUACGUUCCCGGGUCUUGUACACACCGCCCCGUCAAACCAUGAGAGUCACCAACACCCGAAGUCCGCUUUGGCGGCCUAAGGUGGGGAGAUGAUUGGGGUUAAGUCGUAACAAGGUAAC